UUGAGUGUAGAGGUGGCAGGGUAGCCUAGUGGUUAGAGUGUAGAGGAGGCAGGGUAGCCUAGUGGUUAGAGUGUAGAGGUGGCAGGGUAGCCUAGUGGUUAGAGUGUAGAGAGGGGCAGGUAGCCUAGUGGUUAGAGUGUAGAGGGGGCAGGGUAGCCUAGUGGUUUGAGUGUAGAGGAGGCAGGGUAGCCUAGUGGUUAGAGUGUAGAGGCGGCAGGUAGCCUAGUGGUUAGAGUGUAGAGGCGGCAGGGUAGACUAGUGGUUAGAGUGUAGAGGCGGCAGGUAGCCUAGUGGUUAGAGUGUAGAGGCGGCAGGGUAGACUAGUGGUUAGAGUGUAGAGGGGGCAGGGUAGCCUAGUGGUUAGAGUGUAGGGGCGGCAGGGUAGCCUAGUGGUUAGAGCGUUGGACUAGUAACCGGAAGGUUGCAAGUUCAAAUCCCUGAGCUGACAAGGUACAAAUCUGUCGUUCUGCCCCUGAACAAGGUAGUUAACCC
ensembl:lncRNA